UACGUAGGGUGCAAGCGUUGUCCGGAAUUAUUGGGCGUAAAGAGCUCGUAGGCGGCUUGUCACGUCGGCGGUGAAAACCCGAGGCUCAACCUCGGGCUUGCCGUCGAUACGGGCAGGCUAGAGUUCGGUAGGGGAGACUGGAAUUCCUGGUGUAGCGGUGAAAUGCGCAGAUAUCAGGAGGAACACCGGUGGCGAAGGCGGGUCUCUGGGCCGAAACUGACGCUGAGGAGCGAAAGCGUGGGGAGCGAACAGG
rnacentral:misc_RNA from 1 species